rnacentral:rRNA from 1 species
CAGUAGCCGCGGGAAUACGAAGGGUGCAAGCGUUAAUCGGAAUUACUGGGCGUAAAGCGUGCGCAGGCGGUUUUGUAAGUCUGUCGUGAAAUCCCCGGGCUCAACCUGGGAAUGGCGAUGGAGACUGCAAGGCUAGAAUCUGGCAGAGGGGGGUAGAAUUCCACGUGUAGCAGUGAAAUGCGUAGAUAUGCGGAGGAACACCGAUGGCGAAGGCAAUCCCCUGGACCUGUACUGACGCUCAUGCACGAAAGCGCGGGGAGCAAACAGGAUUAGAUACCCCUGUAGUCCCUGUCUCUUAUAC